GGAAUCCUGCCAACCCUGCUAAAGCUCCCCCGAUUAACCGGGCCUGGGGAGCAGGCCUUGUUUAAUGCGGGCUCAGAAAUAAGGGAGGGGCCCCCGGGAACCCACAGGCCUAACAGCCAGGACGGAGGACGCGCGGGAGCAGCGCCGGCCCAUUGGUCCGCUGGGGAAACUGAGGGCAGGGCUUUGCCCAGGUCCGCAGGCCCAGCUCCCCCACCGCCGGCUUCUGUCCCAGCCGGGACGCGCAGGCUCCCAGCAGGCCGCGCCACGGGCUGGGGGAGCCCUUAGGGGACGCGCCAUCCCAAUCCCCGGGAACGACAGUCAUCCCAGGACGUCCGCAACCUCCCGCCCCCGUUUUCCAAGAGGCGGCGGCACCUGAGGGGUUAAAAAAAAUGCAACAUCGGCGCUGCGGGCGCGGAAAGGAUGCUGCAGGGCUGGGAGCUGCGGCUGCGGGCGCCCGGGUACGGGCGGGCGGCCCAGGCUCCAGGCAGGCUCCCGCCCCCAAUCGAGACGCCCGCUCCCUCCGAGGCGGGGGAGCCCGGCGCCCCCACUCCGCGCCCGCUUUGGCGCCCUGGCUUGGGAAGGUCCCGGGCCGCGGGUCCCGAGCGCCGCGCCCUUACCUGUUACCUGGCACCAGCGCGUGUUUACCCCGCGCCCACUGCGUGCCAGGUGCUGUCGUGAGGGAUCCAGGUCCCACAGCGAGCACAACCAGGCCCCGCCCUUCCGGGCUGACAUUCUAGUGAGGGAGUCAGACGAUAUAACGCGGAACUGGCCAAAUAAUUAGAGAGAAUCCGUUCAACAGAAUACUCUGAAGCAGGAGACAAAGAAAAAAGAAAAGAAAUAUAUAGAAGACAUGAAGUUAUAUAAAGGUAUGAAAUGACCUCCUAAAUGUAUUGAGUAAAAACGAGAGAGAAUAAAGUUGGACCAUGUUACUGUUCGUGCAAAAACAAGGGCAAAUAUUAAUUGUACUUGAAGAGAAUACCUUGGAUGGAUUGGUCAAAAAGCUGGAGUAACUCAGAGCUGGGUCCACGUCCAGGCUCUGUCAUUUUUGCUGUGUGACCUUGGGUAGGUGACUUUGCCUCUCUGAGCCUGUUUCUUGAUCAGCGAAAUGGGGGUAAUAAAGAUACCGACUGCACUGGGGUACUGUGACCUUCAGCAAAACUUUCAGCAAAUGGGAAUGAAGAUUAUUUUGGGGAAGGACGGGAUGACUGAACAUUUAUGCACCUAAUAGCAUAGCAAAGGAUAUCGACAGGAGCUGUUAGAAACGUGAAACUGACAGAACCAUGUGGGCCUCAUCACAUUUCUCCACAUGAACCUUGCUUCCCAGUGAUCAAGUCUGCAAGUUCUCCCGUUGCUCACACCUCUGUACCUUUGUAUAGCUGACCCCUCUGCCAAGGACGGGCUUCUCGAAUCCUGGCCAGUGCAUCUCUUUCUUUCUUUCU